UUGUUACUCAGAGUUUCAUGCAAUUUCGCAAUCUUCAGGCCAGAAUGAAGAUUGCGAAAUUGCAUGAAACUCUGAGUAGCAA